AAACUUUUUACGUGAAUUUCGCUAUCUUGUCGAUAAACAUUUCCGUAUAUUUUGUACUUUUUGUAUUUACUGUUUCAUAAUUUUCAUAUGAAGGUGGGGCAUUUGAACACUUAAUUUCUUGUUACAGUGGGGCAUUUGAAGACAUUUUUUGCACAGGGGGUAGAGAAUUUGAUCAGUCAAAUUUCAAAAAUUUCAAAUUCCCGGGGUCGGCCCGGGGGGGAUGGCGAAGUUUCGAAUUGAUCGAUACAUUAAGUACAGUAACGAAGUACAUUUACUUCGUUACUUGACACCACUGAUUAUAUCGCAUUCUCAUGUUUUUAUAUCAUUAUAUGAAAC